UGAGGAAUAUUGGUCAAUGGACGAGAGUCUGAACCAGCCAUGCCGCGUGGAGGAUGAAGGCGUUCUGCGUUGUAAACUUCUUUUAUCUGGGAAGAAACCCCUUUUUUCUAAGAGGGCCGACGGUACCAGAGGAAUAAGCACCGGCUAACUCCGUGCCAGCAGCCGCGGUAAUACGGAGGGUGCAAGCGUUAUCCGGAUUUACUGGGUUUAAAGGGUGUGUAGGCGGGUUUUUAAGUCAGAGGUGAAAUCCCAAGGCUCAACCUUGGAACUGCCCCUGAUACUAUUAGCCUUGAAUAUUGAUGAAGUGGGCGGAACGGGUCAUGUAGCGGUGAAAUGCUUAGAGAUGACCCGGAACACCAAUUGCGAAGGCAGCUCACUGGGCAAUUAUUGACGCUGAGGCACGAAAGCGUGGGGAUCAAACAG
rnacentral:rRNA from 1 species